rnacentral:tRNA from 1 species
GGCCUCGUAGCUCAGCAGGAUAGAGCGACGCUUUCCUAAAGCGUGGGUCGGAGGUUCGAAUCCUCUCGAGGCCGCAA